rnacentral:rRNA from 1 species
UACGUAGGCAGCGAGCGUUGUUCGGAAUUACUGGGCGUAAAGAGCUCGUAGGCGGUUCGGCAAGUCAGCUGUGAAAUCUCCACGCUCAACGUGGAGGGGUCAGCUGAUACUGCUGUGACUUGAGUCCGGUAGGGGAGUGUGGAAUUCCCGGUGUAGCGGUGAAAUGCGCAGAUAUCGGGAGGAACACCGGUGGCGAAGGCGGCAUCCUGGACCAACACUGACGCUGAGGAGCGAAAGCCAGGGGAGCAAACGGG